GCUGAUACUCCAGAGAGAUGUCAGUAGACCUCUCAGGCUGGGGAGGUUAUUGCCAUUGCAUUUUGUGACACCGAAUUCUCUACAUUUCUCCUGGACUAUUCUCAAGAGUGAAGUCAAAUAUGAAAAGCAGGAAAUGGAAUCAUAUAAUUAUGUGGUUUCUGCCAAUGCUGCUUCUCUUUCUAUUGAUGGAAAAUGCUUUGGGAAAGAAAAAGAAAAAGGAAACUUGUGGCAAGGUGGAACUUACAACAACAUUAAAAUUAUAGCUUCCCUAAUUAUAGGAGGUAUCCCAGUUUCCUAUGGUGAAUUUCCAUGGCAAGUAGGUAUUACUUGGGAAAGAACAACACUUCUUUGUGGAGGAUCAUAUUAUGUCUUAUGGCUUGUUUUAACUGCAUCCCAGUGCUUCUUGACUAAUAGAACAGAUGAUGUUGACAUAGUGAUGGGAACAGAGUGACAAAAUAGUAAAUAUGGAGAAUGGAAAAAGUGAAGAAGAUCAUUAGUCAUUCCGAUUUCAACCAUAUAUAUCUGAAAAAUGACAUAACCAUGAUCACAUGGUUCAGGAUCCAAAACAAUUCAAUAAACAGAUAAUGCCCAA